UUUUCUCAAGGAAGAAGACCUGACGGUACUUGAGGAAUAAGCCACGGCUAAUUCCGUGCCAGCAGCCGCGGUAAUACGGGAGUGGCAAGCGUUAUCCGGAAUUAUUGGGCGUAAAGCGUCCGCAGGCGGCCCUGUAAGUCUGUCGUUAAAGCGUGGAGCUUAACUCCAUUUAAGCGAUGGAAACUACAGGGCUUGAGUGUGGUAGGGGCAGAGGGAAUUCCCGGUGUAGCGGUGAAAUGCGUAGAUAUCGGGAAGAACACCAGUGGCGAAGGCGCUCUGCUGGGCCAUAACUGACGCUCAUGGACGAAAGCCAGGGGAGCGAAAGGGAUUAGAUACCCCUGUAGUCCUGGCCGUAAACGAUGAACACUAGGUGUCGGGGGAAUCGACCCCCUCGGUGUCGUAGCCAACGCGUUAAGUGUUCCGCCUGGGGAGUACGCACGCAAGUGUGAAACUCAAAGGAAUUGACGGGGGCCCGCACAAGCGGUGGAGUAUGUGGUUUAAUUCGAUGCAACGCGAAGAACCUUACCAGGGUUUGACAUCCUGCGAACCCCCUGGAAACGGGGGGGUGCCUUCGGGAACGCAGUGACAGGUGGUGCAUGGCUGUCGUCAGCUCGUGUCGUGAGAUGUUGGGUUAAGUCCCGCAACGAGCGCAACCCACGUCGUUAGUUGCCAGCAUUCAGUUGGGCACUCUAGCGAGACCGCCGGUGAUAAACCGGAGGAAGGUGUGGAUGACGUCAAGUCAUCAUGCCCCUUACAUCCUGGGCUACACACGUACUACAAUGCUACGGACAAAGGGCCGCAAGCUCGCGAGAGUUAGCAAAUCCCAUAAACCGUGGCUCAGUUCAGAUUGCAGGCUGAAACUCGCCUGCAUGAAGGAGGAAUCGCUAGUAAUCGCAGGUCAGCAUACUGCGGUGAAUUCGUUCCCGGGCCUUGUACACACCGCCCGUCACACCAUGGG
rnacentral:rRNA from 1 species